rnacentral:rRNA from 1 species
UUCCCCUAGUCCUGCGAGUGAMSCGGGAAAAKCUCAAAUUUAAAAUCUGGCAGUCUCUGGCUGUCCGAGUUGUAAACUAGAGAAGUGUUAUCCGUGCUGGACCAUGUAUAAGUCUCCUGGAACGGAGCGUCACAGAGGGUGAGAAUCCCGUCUUUGACAUGGACUCCCAGUGCAUUGUGAUGCGCUCUCAAAGAGUCGAGUUGUUUGGGAAUGCAGCUCAAAAUGGGUGGUAAAUUCCAUCUAAAGCUAAAUAUUGGCGAGAGACCGAUAGCGAACAAGUACCGUGAGGGAAAGAUGAAAAGAACUUUGGAAAGAGAGUUAAACAGUACGUGAAAUUGUUGAAAGGGAAACGCUUGAAGUCAGUCGCAUUGGCUGGGGAUCAACCUUGCUUUUGUGAGGUGUACUCUCUAGUUAAUGGGUCAGCAUCAAUUUUGACUGCUGGAAAAAGGUCAGGGGAAUGUGGCAUCUCAGGAUGUGUUAUAGCCCCUAAUCAUAUACAGUGGUUGGGAUUGAGGAACUCAGCACCCGUAAGGUGUGCUUAGGAUGCUGGCAUAAUGGCUUUAAUCGACCCGUCUUGAAACACGGACCAAGGAGUCUAACAUGCCUGCGAGUGUUUGGGUGGUAAACCCAUGCGCGUAAUGAAAGUGAAAGUUGAGAUCUCUGUCAUGGAGAGCAUCGACGCCCGGACCAGACCUUUUGUGACGGAUCCGCGGUAGAGCAUGUAUGUUGGGACCCGAAAGAUGGUGAACUAUGCCUGAAUAGGGCGAAKCCAGAGGAAACUCUGGYGGAGGCUCGWAGCGA